GCCGGGUGUGGUGGCUCACGCCUGUAAUCCCAGCACUUUGGGAGGCCGAGGCGGGCGGAUCACCUGAGGUCAGGGGUUCGAAACCAGCCUGACCAACAUGGUGAAACUCUGCCUCUA
rnacentral:SRP_RNA from 2 species